rnacentral:rRNA from 1 species
AUUGAACGCUGGCGGCAGGCCUAACACAUGCAAGUCGAGCGAGCGGCGGACGGGUGAGUAAUGUAUAGGGACCGCCCGUUAGAGGGGGAUCACUACUGGAAAAGGUAGCUAAUACCGCAUAAUAUUGGAUAACUCAUAUGGGCUGAGCUAGUAGGUGAGGUAAUGGCUCACCUAGGCGACGAUCCCUAGCUGGUCUGAGAGGAUGAUCAGCCACACUGGAACGGAGACACGGACCAGACUCCUACGGAGGCAGCAGUGGGGAAUAUUGCGCAAUGGGCGAAAGCCUGAUGCAGCCAUGCCGCGUGUGUGAAGAAGGCCCUAGGGUUGUAAAGUACUUUCAGUCGGGAGGCGUUACCGACAGAAGAAGCACCGGCUAACUCCGUGCCAGCCGCCGCGGUAAUUC